GCCCGGUUAGCUCAGCUGGUUAGAGCGUCGUACUAAUAUAGCCUGCUAUAUCAAGUGAUGCGAAGGUCAACAGUUCAAUCCUGUUACUGGGCA